CGUCCGAUCAUAGGAGAAAAGUAGGGUUUAAAGGCCCUCUGUUCCCAUUCGAUGGGGUCUCCUAUGGCGGUAGGGGUGCCGAUGCAAUUAUAUCCCAUGCUGAUGAAGCAGCGAAAGGACUUAAUUAUAAAAUUUAUCAUGAAUAUGUUAGAUUAGAUCUAAAAGAAAAUUUAUGAUUUAUUUUGAGUUAUUUUUUGUUAUGAAAUGAGCAAUAGGAUUGCUGUUUAUGAAUUAUGCUGACC
rnacentral:lncRNA from 1 species